rnacentral:lncRNA from 1 species
GGUUGUUUAUGCCCAUUAAUGACCGUGACAUGUAGUCGAUAACCGUUUAUAACAAUUAGAUGUGUAGGUUUCACAUAUUUCAACCUUAUGUGAUCAUAGAAAGAUAAGCUGACUAUAUGUCGGUAAUAAUAGUAGGUCGAUGGAGAUCCGAAUGAGCAUCGGACGAUAACUCUGAUAUACCGAUGAUCAUUAGUCAGAUAUUAAAUGAGUCGUCGUGGUUGUCCGUUAUUGAUUGAUAAUAGCUGACUGUCGAUUGAUUAACUGAUUGUUAGUCAGAGUAUUGUAUUUAUAAGGUCGAUGUAGAG